GGUGGGGCUGAAAGUCCCAACCCUCUAACCCUGCCUUUGUCUUUCCAGUGGCCAGGCCCCAUCCUGAAUCUACCUAAUUUUUAUUGGUCUAAUAUAAUUUACUGGUCUAACACUGGGUUUUUAAACAGAGAUGUUAAAAGAGGACACCUCAGCCUCCCACAAAAAGCAUAUGUUAGAAAAACUGUUGUAGGGAACAUGCAUCCUUAACAAAAAAGUUUCCUCUUCUUUCCCAUUUUCACUGUGAUUUUUAGAAGACACAAUAGUUCCUAACUUUCUAGCUGGUACUAUUACAACUUAAUUUUGACUUCCUUAAAAUAAGGACUUUCAGCUAUUCAAAAAGGUCAGUUUAAUUGUUAAAAUUUCAAUUAUUCUCUUGACCAUACAUAAAGAAGGCAUGCAAGGAAAUAGCUAUUUUCCUUGUUGCUUUUGUUAUGCUUAGAACUUUCAAAUUAUAAUAUUUUUGUUUGUCUGGAAACAUUUUUAUUUCACUAUCAUUUUUGAAAGAUGGUUUUGCUGGGUACAGAAUUCUAAGUUGGAAGUUAUUUUCUGUUAGUAUUAAUAUUUUGGAGAUCCUUCACUAUCUUCUGGUUUCUAUUGCUGCAGUUGAAAAGUCUGCUGUUAGUCUAAGCACCCCAUAAUACAAGCCAAUCAUUGAACACAAAAUAGUACUUUAGUAAAAGCAGCUCUAUUUGAGAUUAACAUAUCCUGAUUGGUUGCUUUAUAGACAGAAACAGGCUGAAGAAAGCAGAAACAGAGAACAAAAAGCAGAUUGGUUGUUUCAAAGUUACUUUUCUUAUAGGGUUAAAAUAGAGGGAACUUCUUUAGCAUGGCAAAUCAAGUAAACCAGGCCCGUUUUGAUUGGUUGCUAUGAAUUUCCUGUUUUUUAUUUUUACUUUUUAUUUAUUUAUUUAUUUUGAAAAACUGGCCUGUUUUAGAGUUCAGUUUGAUUAUGUGGCACCUAGCAUGAUUGACUCCAUUAUAGUUUGGUCUGGUCUACUGGGGCGCAGUGUAGGAGGCUAGUCCAAAACAAUGU
rnacentral:lncRNA from 1 species